UCGGGAAUUUUGGGCAAUGGGCGCAAGCCUGAUCCAGCCAUGCCGCGUGGAUGAUGAAGGCCUUAGGGUUGUAAAGCUCUUUUGGCGGGGACGAUAAUGACGGUACCCGCAGAAUAAGCCCCGGCUAACUUCGUGCCAGCAGCCGCGGUAAUACGAAGGGGGCUAGCGUUGUUCGGAAUUACUGGGCGUAAAGCGCACGUAGGCGGAUUUGUCAGUCAGGGGUGAAAUCCCGAGGCUCAACCUCGGAACUGCCUCCGAUACAGCAAGUCUCGAGUCCGGAAGAGGUGAGUGGAAUUCCUAGUGUAGAGGUGAAAUUCGUAGAUAUUAGGAAGAACACCAGUGGCGAAGGCGGCUCACUGGUCCGGUACUGACGCUGAGGUGCGAAAGCGUGGGGAGCAAACAGGAUUAGAUACCCCCGUAGUCCCUGAGCGGGCUGGCAAGGCGCAU
rnacentral:rRNA from 1 species